AGUGACGUAACAAAGAAACUUGCA
rnacentral:siRNA from 1 species